AUAUUAUAGAGAUAACAAUUAUAUCAUAUGAUCAAUUCAUAACCUGCUCGCUGCCAGCCUCCAUCAUACAGAGGGAGGAUCUACUAGGAACUAGAUUAUCUUCAACUAUCAAGGACUAUCCGAAGCAUGUCAAACACUUUACAAUUACAAUAAAACAGUUUUUACAACGCAAAAUGAAUCUUAGAGACAUUAUUUCUGUGGACAAUCAAAACAAAAUCACAUCUUCAAUAUUUCUUGCAUAUAGGCGGAUCCACAAGUUCUAUUCAAAUGGACUCUUAUGAAAAAUACAUAUGCCAAAAUUUGAAACACAUGACCUUAUGAAGUGUCAUGUGUACUAAUAGAAUCAAAGUUAUAGGUAGAAUAUAGCAUCAAUAGAUUCAAUAAAUGAGUAAAUUACACUUGUAUUGGAUAAUCAAUCUUUCACAUGCUAGUGUGUAAAAAUAUUAGUGUGUGAUUUUUCAAUAGAGUAAAUUACACUUGUAUUGGAU